UCUCCAACCGGUUCAGGAUAGAGAGGUCAUUUGCUGUCAGUCCAGGUACGAACGACGCCGAACUCGACUCCGCCGCUUCUCUUUCUCCAGAUCCUGCAAUCCCCACCCUCUCCGCCGGCUUCCGGCGGCGGCGACGGCGUUUCUGCAGCGUCGCGCAAUCAGGAACUCGUUACAGUCCUUGUUGUCGGAAUUCUUUCGAAUGCUUCUAUUAUGGAGGAGCAAUCCGAUGAUGAUCUCACGAUAGUUUCGGUAAAUGGAUUAAGAGAAGGGCAGGAGCUUGCCAUGGUAAAUGCGCAGGAGACUGAUGUGAGGAAAGAGUCCGAAGCCACUCAGGAAAUGAAUGGAGGUGAUGAGGAUGUACCGAAGUUGGGGAUGACGUUCCAAACCCCAGAAGAAGCUUUCAGAUUUUAUGACAAAUAUGCUUGUCGCACUGGAUUUGGCAUAAAGGUGCUAAAUUCAACAUACUAUGAAGAUGGAAGAUGUAGGUAUCUCUGGCUUUCGUGUAACAAGGAUGGUAAGGUGAAAUAUAAAACGGAUUUCCAUUCAUCAAAACCAACCAAAAAAACAAACUGCAUGGCGAGAAUCCAACUUCGGCACAGGGCUGAUGGAUUGCUCCACAUCAAGCAAGUAAUACUUGAUCACAAUCAUCCACUUAGUCCUGGGACAGCUAAAUCCUAUCAUACAAGGAAGCGGAAACGAUUUCUUGAGAAUGAUGAUGGAGUGAUGACGCCACUGGACUGGUCAUACCCAGAAGGAGGGUUUGGGAGGGUACGGAAGCGAGGAACUGGAGAAAAGAAGUGUGAGUUGAGGCUUGAAAAAGGAGAUGGUGAGGCUAUACAUCAAUUCUUUAUAGGCAUGCAAACCAAGGACUCUUUCUUCUUCCACUCGAUGGAUCUGGAUGAAGAAGGUCGUUUAAGGAAUGUAUUUUGGGCUGACGGCAGGUCUAGGACACAAUAUCAGUACUUUGGUGAAGUUAUUUUAUUCGAUACUACCUAUUUGAUAGAUAAAUAUGAUGUGCCUCUGGUUUCUUUUGUUGGGGUAAACCAUCAUGGCCAGAAGGUGUUACUUGGAUGUGGUUUGCUUUCAGAUGAAAGCAAUGAAACAUAUAUUUGGCUAUUCAAAACCUGGCUAUCUUGUAUGUUUGAAUGUCCUCCAAUUGCAAUAAUCACUGAUAGAUGCAAUGCCUUGCAAGAAGCUGUUGCUGAGGUAUUUCCAAAAGCUCACCAUCGUCAAUGCCUAUGGCAUAUAAUGAAAAGGAUUCCAGAAAAUUUACAAGGGCGUGUGGACUAUAAAGAAAUUAAGAAGACUUUGAAGAAAGUAACAUAUGACAGUUUAAGAACUGAUGAAUUUGAGGAAGACUGGAGAAAAAUGGUUGAGAAAUAUAAACUUGAAAAUAAUGAAUGGCUCGAGUUAUUGUAUGAAGAUCGACGUUAUUGGGCCCCAGUCUAUGUCAAAGAAACAUUUUGGGCAGGAAUGUCUGUUACUAGACGUGGUGAGAGCAUGAAGUCUUUCUUUGAUGAGUAUGUUCAUUACAAGAUUACUUUAAGACAAUUUCUUAGAAAGUAUGAGAUGGUUGUGCAGAAUAAAUAUGAAAAGGAAGUUCAAGCUGAUAUUGAAUUGUUCCAUAAGAGCCCUCAAUUGAUAACACAACUCUACAUGGAGGAGCAGCUUGGCAAAGCCUACACAUUUGAUGUGUUUAAAAAAUUCCAAGCUGAGAUUAGGGCCUUGAUAUACUGUGUCUCUUCUCUAGUUAAGGUUGAUGGUCAAGUAUAUACCUUCAAAGUAAAAGAACGUAUAAGAGUGAAAAAUAGUAAACAUAUGGAGAAUAAGUUCUAUGAAGUUCUUUACAAUGAAAAGGAAUUAGAGGUGAGCUGCAUUUGUUGCUCUUUCCAAUUCAGAGGUAUUUUAUGUAGACAUGCAUUAUCUGUGCUUAACUUUCAAAAUGUGGUUGAGAUUCCAUCUAAAUACAUUCUUGAACGUUGGAGAAAGGACUUCAAGCGCAUGCAUGCUUUGGCUUGUUUUCCUAAUGAGGUUGUAGCUGAUGGGCCAUUGGAUCAUCAUGGAAACUUUUACAAGCAUUGCCUUAAACUUUCUGAGAUAGGGCUGAUGUCCGAUGAAAAAUAUGAGUUUGCAUUGAAAGUAGUAAAUGAGGCAAUACAAAAACUUCUUGCAAAUGACAGCAUAUGUGAUGUCAAACAAACAGAGAAUGUUUCUCAUGAAGCUCUGUCAAACUGUAAUAUGGUUAAUGUCAAUGUGAAUGGAGAUAGAAAUAGGGGAAUUGAAAGUAAUGGGUUUCACAAUCCUGUGCAAGUGAGGGAGACAGUGAACCAUCCACAUUUUGAAUUUUUUCAAAAUAGGGGUCGCAAUGAUCAACAGUCAGCUGGCUAUCGGUCAGGGAUGGAUUGGGGCUUUCAACAGUAUUUUCGGGAAUCUCAGAUACAGGAGACAAAUCCCAGCCCAAGGCCUUGGUAGAUGAUGGAACAUCUACUUGCAGAAAUGUAGCUUCAGAAAAAGAUGAACGAAAGUUGAGAGUUUUCUUUUCUCCUAUGGUGUUAUGUGGUAGAACAAGUAUGAGGCUUUCAACCCUAGGUGCGAUUCCUAGGUUCUUAAUUAAGUAGGUGGAUACUUCAAGACAAACAAGUUUCUUCCUAUCUACCUCAAAUCAGGAUUUCAAACAGCAAAUUUGUCAUGUUUACUGCCUUUGUGAUGUGGAUACUUCUAUCUUGCUGAGAGUGAAGGACUCGUUAGCUUCUUACUAGAAGCUGGAAAGUGUUUUGGGUAUGCAUAUCAAAGCCUACUUCAGAAAGAGCCUUAAUGUCAUAUUGGAGGUUGUAUUACAAGGUAAGAUAUGUUAUAGAUUGUUGUUGUAUUGGGAGUAAAGAGAGAAUUUGUAAUGUAUCUAUAAUAAAGGAUGUAAAGUGUGUGUAUAAUGAACUAGUUUGGGCAUUACGUGGAAUGAAGUAGAUCUUGGUUUGGCUUCAUGGUUAUACAUUGUAAAAAAAAUUAAAUUUUGAAUGAGAUUUAGCUUUUUUCUGUUUCAGCAAA